ACAUUUGAAAGAAAAAAUCGCAGCAGCAGCUGCUGCCUUCUUCUUCCUUCAUAAACAACCUCCCUUAGCUCGAAAACCUCAACAAACCACCCAAACCCAGCUGAAACAACAUCAAAAUCCCUCCCUUUCACCCCCAAAAUCCAGCCCGAAAAAUAGCCCCCAAUACCAUCGAAAACCAACUCAAAUCAGCUGUAAAACCAACUGAAAAUCAGCUGCGAAACCGGCUGAAAAAUUAUCUCAAAACCAGACCAAAAUGUAGCAAAAAGCCAUCUCAAAACAACCCCAAAACAUCACCUCCUAAAACUCCAUUGAAACCAACCAAGAAUUAGCUCUAAAACCCAGCAAAAAUAGCUCUGUUUCCCAGUGAAAAUCAGCUGCAAAAUUGUCCUAAAAAUCAGCCUUCCACCUCCAAACACCACCGCUAAAGUUGUUGGAUCGGAUUGAGGUUAUUUGGGUCAAGUUGAGGUCCAUGUUGUGGCUCUCGGGUCGAGGUUUUGUUCGCAAUUCUGGUGUUAUCGCCGAAUUCCGUUUCUGCUAGCUGAACAACUAUUUUUGUUGAAUAAGAUCUUGCUCAAUUAAAGGUUCAUCCUCUACUCUACUAUUUCUAUUAGGCCACCCACUUGCUCUUAUUUGUCAUAUACUAUUUGAGAUGUCUCUGUUAGAAAUGAGUAUUUUAUCAUCAUGCGAUUGUUUGGUGAUUCGAUUACGUUGCUUGAAUUGGUGAGAUCUCGUUUCAUUAUUAUUGUUUGAACUUAAUGCGACUAUGUAUUGAUAAUAUUUUAAUUGUUAUAGUAAGUUAUUAUUAAAACGUUUCAUUAUAGGUGUUUUGGAUUUUAACAGUGAUAUUCUAAUGUUAAGGGAUUUGUGGCUAGGUGGGAUUCUGGCCAUUUGAUUUUCAAUGGAGAGUCGAUUUUGGACCAAAAAAUUUAAAGAGUUUUGAGUUUAAAAUAUUUUUCCAUACAUUAUUUUUCUACAUAGUCACGUUAGUAAACAUUAGGAAUAAAACUAUGAGGUGUAACAUUAACUCCAAUUUUUAGCAUAUUUUUUUCAAUAAAUUCUUGUCAACUAAAUCACACCGUCUCUCCAUAAUAUGGAUUGUGUACACGUUCGCGUGACAUGAUUUUAACGCCCAAAUAAAACGGGUUUACACACAUGCAGUUCGCUUCACAGAUAAAUCCAUAACUAAGUAAUUAAAAGUAGUAAAAAGUUAAAAUGUACAUAGGUUCUAAAAUAAGUAAUUAAAAAAUUUAAUUAAGCCAGGUAUGAUUAAAGCAGACCAUAAAUAGAGUCAAAUUUUCUCGACUUGGGAUUUAAAAUAAAUCGGUGACUUGGGACACCAUAAAAUUAUUCAAAGUGGCGACUCUGAAAUAAAAUAGAUAAUUCCAUAUCGAAUAAUAUCACUUAAAUUGGAAAAAAACUCCCUUAUAUCCCCUACGGGUAAAAAGGAGGUGUGACACCAGAUUCAGUAAAAUUCUUGGAGAUCUCAAAUCAUUUGAAAGACCAAUUAAAAGUGGCGAACAAGUUAGAAAGAUCCUUAGAAGCUUGCCUACAAUUUGGCAACCAAGGGUCAUUGCUUUGGAAUGUCAAGAUCUGGAUAAAAUUUCCUAUGAUGAGCUCAGAGGUGAUCUGAUUGCUUUUGAGAAAACUCAUCUUGAUAGAAAAUUCAAGAGAAGAAAAAAAUUGUUGCUUUCAAAGCAACUGUGGCUGAACCAGAAAUUGAAGAUGAAGAAGAAGGAGGAGAACAAGGUGAAAACAUAAUGCUCUCUCAAGUCGUGACCAGCAUGAUGAGACGAAACAUAAACAACAGAAGAGGUAAGUCUAACUUCAGGAAAGGAAGAGCGAGCAAUGAAGCUAAGAAAAAUGAUGAAAGAUGUUACGAAUAUGGAAAGUUCGGUCAUAUUCAAGUUGAAUGUCCGAAAUUAAAGAAGAAACUUAGCAGAAAAAUGCAAAAGAUGAAAGCCUUUGGAGCAUGGAGUAAUGAGGAAGAAUCUAAUCAUGAGGAAAUUGCUAACAUGCGCUUCAUGGCUCUAAGUGACAAUGAAGAAGCAGGGGAACUUGGGCUAAUGACAGACAUCAACGAUGAGAAAGACGACUCAAGAGAACCUCUUUCAAUGUCAGAUGAGGAACUAGUGAACUACGUACUCCUUUAUACCCUAAUUGUCAUGAACUUCAAGAAUUUGUUAAUAUUGCCCUUGCAGAUAUAGAAAGAGUAGUAAAUGAGCUCAGAAAAGUCAAGAGAGAAGAGAGACUGGGCCCUAAAACUAGAAGUAUGCAAAAUUGAACGCGAUAUAUUUCAAGAAAAAGUAAAUGAACUCAAGGUUCAAUUGAAUGGAUUGCAAAGGACCUCAAAUCACAGUUCAGUCAAGUCUCAACAGACUGUUCAUCAGAAAAAGAAAAUGGCUUGUUCCUUUUGUGGAAAAAAUGGCCAUAACACUAAUAAUCGCAGGAACAGAAUUAGAGCUAAGAGUAGUUUUGAUAACUCUAACAACUUAUCUUGCUUCUACUGUGGCAAAAGAGGUCAUACCUCAAAUUAUUGCAGGUUCAAAAAUAACAAAAGAUGGGUCUGGAGACCAAAAUCUUCAAAUCAAACUAACACUCAGAAGUCUAACCAUUCAGGACCCAAGCAGGCUUGGGUACCUAAAAAUAAGUAAUCUUGUUUUGCAAGAACACUGCAAGAAAAAUAGAAAAGGAAAAUGGUAUCUCGGCAACACGUGUUCCAGACAUAUGACGAGUGACAAAUAAUUGUUCAAAUCAGUCACCAAGAUAGAUGGAGGAAUAGUUACAUUUGGUGACAAAUCCAAAGAAAAUGUUACUGGUGUUGGAAAAGUUCCUUUAAGCUCAACAUGUGAUGUAGAUGGAGUCUACUUAGUUGAUUAACUUGGCUAUAACCUUCUCAGUAUCAGUCAAUUGUGUGAUAAUGAUUAUGAGGUUCAUUUUAAGAAACAUGGAUGGUUUAUAGAAGACGAAUCAGGUAAUAUCAUUCUCUCAAGAAAUAGGAACAGAAAUGUCUAUACUAUCAAAAACUUAGAAAACUUUGGGGAUCAAAUUUGCCUUACUUCUAUUAUUGAAGAUCCCUAGGUUUGGCAUAGAAAACUUGGCCAUACAAGCAUGAAUACUAUUCAAAAAAAUUUCAAACAUGAUCUUGUUAUUGGUCUUCCAAAACUAAAUUUUUUAAAAGAUCAUAUAUGUGAUGCAUGUCAAUUAGGGAAACAAGCACGAUCCUCUUUCAAAGUCAAAAACAUUGUUUCUACCUCUAAACCUCUUCAAUUGCUGCAUAUGAAUUUAUUUGGUCCUACUAGAACUGCUAGUAUAGGAGGUAAGAAAUAUGUUUUUGUUAUUGUAGAUGAUUUCUCUAGAUUUACAUGUGUUAUGUUUCUUAGUCAUAAAGAUGAUGCUCUAAAGAAUUUUGAAGUUUUCUGUAAGAAGGUUCAACGAGAAAAAGGAUACUAUAUCUCCACCAUCAGAAGUGACCAUGGAGGAAAAUUUGAAAGCAGAACUUUUGAAAAUUUUGCAAUGAUCAAGGAAUCUCUCAUAACUUCUCAUCGCCAAGAUCCCCUCAACAAAAUGGAGUAAUAGAACGUAAAAACAGAACCUUGCAGGAUAUGGCAAGAAGUAUGAUCGUGGAAAACUCUCUACCUCAUAAUUUCAAGGCAGA
rnacentral:lncRNA from 1 species